UACGUAGGGGGCAAGCGUUGUCCGGAUUUAUUGGGCGUAAAGCGCUCGCAGGCGGUCGGCUUCGUCGUGCGUGAAGGCCCUCGGCUCAACCGGGGGUGGUCGUGCGAUACGGGUCGACUGGAGGUAGGUAGGGGGACGCGGAAUUCCCGGUGUAGUGGUGGAAUGCGUAGAGAUCGGGAGGAACACCGGCGGCGAAGGCGGCGUCCUGGACCUGGCCUGACGCUCAGGAGCGAAAGCGUGGGGAGCGAUCCGG
rnacentral:rRNA from 1 species